ensembl:lincRNA
UGACCAGGGAUCUGUCACUUGGUGGCCCGGAACCAGCAGCACCGUGUGUCCCUGAGUGCUUCUCUGAGAAUUGGGCUGGGAGGGAAGGCAGGAGCAAAGAGCAGCUGGAACCAGAGGCCAGUGGGGAUGAAUUUACACCCCGAGGCUCCUCAGGGCAAGCUGGGCCCUGGGGACAGUCUGGGGGAAAGCUGGAGUCGGAGAGAGACGUGGAGGCCCAGGGACCCAGAAUAUCACUGCUUGAGCACCUGCUGUGUGUCCCGCUUAGACCAGACACUUUCCAUCAGCACUCUCAUUUCAUCCUGCCCUCUGAGGCUGGUGUCUCUGUCCUUAUUUUAUGCACAAGAGGGCCGAGGCUCAGGACACCAGAUGGAUCAAACUUAACCAGCAGCAGCGCUGGGAUUUGAACCCAGGUAGCUGAAGCUGCCAGCUGCUCGCCUGUGGAUCAGGAGGCGUGGCUGAGAAUAAACAGGCACGGAGCACAUCCUUGAGUAUUUCCUUACCCAAUCAACUAAUAUUUAUUUGGAAGCCCACUCCACGCCAGGAACCAGUCUAGAUCUUGGAGAUGCAGUAGUAGAAGAAACAGACCAAGGACCCCCUGGGGGACGACCGUAAUUGAGUAAAUGGAUGAAAUAACUGGACGUUUUGGAUAGCGAUCACAACUAUAAAGAAUUAGAACUGUGAUGACUGAUGUAACAGAGAAGGAGCGGUGCAAGUUGGGGACAGUCUGGCUCCAGAAAGUCAGUCCUGAUGCACGGGCAGUAUCAGCCUGCUCUGUGGCAGGCUCCAUGCUGGGGCACCCACCCACGCAGGUGGAUGGUGCGGACAAUGCUGGGUGCUCCAACAGUCCAGCCACCCCUGCAGAAAGAGAACUUCAGAUUCGCAGGUAUUUUCCAGAAGACUCAGAGCAGAUUUCACUCUGAUUGGUACAGAUUGGGUCACAUGACCUACCCUUAGCCAAUCACUGGCCUGAGGCAGCAGUAUUCCUAUUGCUCACAUCUGUGCAAGGGCCCACUGCUAAAGCUAGGGGUGGGGCAACCUCGGUCCGGGUCAUUUGAACAAAGGGGGAUGUGGCUCUCCAGUAGAACAGUGGUGAGCUGGGAAAGAAGAGGUAGGGGCGCCCUAGAGCACUCAGGAAUACAGCUCUUCCAAGCUCCCCUGUCUUUCUAGUCAUCGCAUAUUGCCUGUUUUAUUCUGUCAUUCCAUUGGCAUAAAGACAUUUCUCUCAUUUAUAAGACAAAUAAACCUCUCUUGACCCCGCCCACUUUUCUACUCAUUCCAGUUGUACGCCUCUCCUCCUCUCUUGACCUUGAUUGGGCUUGUGUCCGCACCUUAAAAAGCUCAUGUCAAGGCAGCUGAUGUCCGCCUCCUCACCAGAUCUGGUGGCAAGCCUCAGUCCUCACCUCGCACCCACCUGAGUGCUCUUGCCUCCUUGCCACUGCCUUUCAGUUUUUCUCCUGCCUCGCUGGCUUCUGUUCUGCCUCUCCUGCUGAUUCUCCCUCUUUCUGUCUUUAAAUGUUGGGAGGCGGGUGAUGGUUGGUCUCAGACACACCCACUAAUCUCUUAGCAGUCUGAACCUCCGCUAAUCAUCUGUUUCUGCUCUCAGCCUGACACUUCAGGUCCAGUCACUCUCUCACCCCAGGGCCUUUGCAUUUGCUCUUCCAUCUGACUUAGACACUCUUUCCCCCAAAUAUCCGUGUGGUUCACUCUUUUCAGUCUAUGUUUACAGUGUUGCCUUUCCUGACCUCCUCACUAUUUAAAGCUAUGACCUCUUUAUUUCUACACUCUACCUUCCCUUCCCUGCUUUUUACCCUCAACUGUUCUGAUCACCAGCUUGCCUACUAUGUAUUUGAUCUAUUGCUUUGGUGUCUGUCUGUCCACUGAAUAUAAGAGCAGAGAUAACCUCUCUCUGUUCACUGCUGACUUCCAGCACUUAGGAGGGAGCUCAGAACAUAAUAGGUUCUCAGUGGUAUUAGUUGAAUGAAUGCACAAGUACCCAAAGUGGUUAUAUUCCCUUUCAAGGAGCUAGAAAUACAAAACUGAGGACUAGAGGCCUGCAAGCAGGCCUCUUUCCAAGAUGGCUGGCCUGGGGAGAGGACAGGCCAGCUGUAGAGACCAGAAACCCAUAAGACCUGGCCAUUGCUGGCAGGCAGGGGAGAGGUGGGAGCAGCACCAAGGCUUGGUGUGCAAGUAGUGGUAUCUGGGUAGCCCUAUUGAAGGGGAAGGGUUUGCUGAACACCUUAUCAUGUGAAUGUUCCUUAGCCUUCACCAUAAACUACAAGGUGGGAAUUAUUAGUCUUUCUACCAUUAAAAAAAAUGGAGGCUUAGAGAGAGAAAGCAACAGAAUGAUCAGACAACCUCUUGGCUUACACAUGCCACCACACUGCUUUAUUUUUUUUACCUUGUCUUGAUUCAAAUAGGUUUAAGGUGACUAUCAAAAUAAUGAAUUAAACUUGUGAAUGUUGACAUUGGAAGAGUAGUUUGUAUUGGAUGACUUAUAAACUCUAGACAAAAUGUUUUUAGAAAUGCAAAGAUUAUUGUUUGAAGGAUAUGGAAAGCAACGAACACUUGGCAGAAACUGGAAGGGUUAUGACCCUUAAUAGAAGGGAACCAUGCUUGGGGACAUCCACAGUUAGAUUUUAUUCCUGUUGAUGGCAUAUCACUGUCCAUGAAAGAAAUAUUCUUAAUGAUUUAUGGAAGUAGGAGACACAGUUUGGGCCUGCUAUUUGGCUGGAAAUUGAGGAGAAAAAUCUCAGAAACAAUGGGCCACAGAGGAAAAUUUCCCAGUUCUGUGUGUAAACACCCUUCAAAUCCUUGAACUUGCAUGUGCAGGCAAGACUUCCAAGAACCCAAAGGGAAAAAUGAUAGCUGAAGAGAUGGAAUUGCUGAGACAAGAUGUGAGAAUCUUCCCAGUGCAAGGAAAACACAAUUUGGAGUCUGACUUCUGCAGUGAAUUACAGUAUUCUAAUAACUCCCCAGAAGGGCUAUGCAUUAGGAAUAAAGACUACGUCUCAUGAUAGAAGGAGUCUUCCUUAGAUCAGCAACAAAUGAAACAAGGAUAAAUGACUAAACAUGUGAAAAAAGAGGAAAAUGGAAUCCAAAGUCAAGAGAAAAAUAAGCUAGUGAAAAAGAUCCACAGAUGACUCAGAUGUUGGAAUUAGCAGUAACUAUAAUGAAUAUGCUAGCCUAUGCAGAUGACUAGCUGAAAAAAAUGGCCAAAGCUUGAAAAAUUUGAAAAAUAAAAUGAAGUGAUAUUGGAUUAUCACCCAAAGUGUAAGAUAAUAUCCAUGAGUCCCUACUGAUAUAAAUAAAUGCCUGGAUAAAAUAAUAAAUUGUGGAGAAGAGGCAAAUCUCUUGGGAAGAAGAAUUCUAAGUAAUUUAUGUAGAUAUUCUACAACCUCAAGGAGGUAGAGCAUAACUCACCACUCCUUAAGUGUGGGCUGCUCAUAGUGAGGUCUCUCCAAAGAGCACAGUAUAGAAAGAAUGGGGAAUGAAUAACAUAACAGUGGAGAAACCUGACAAACACUAUGUCAGCCAGGUGAUGAAGGUCAACAUCAGUAGUUAUAGGUAAUGUUGAUAGUUGUGCUCUUCAUAUGAUAUGAGCAACAUUUACUUUAUGAACUUCCUUCUGCAAACCCAUACCAGCCAAUCCCCAAGCUAAUCAUCAGAAAAACAUUAGGCAAAUUCCAGUAGAAGACUGGAUGCAACAAUAUACUUGACCAGUACUCUUCAGAAUUGUCCAAGUCAUCAAAACUGAAGAAAGCUUGGGAAACUGUCAUAGCCAAGAGGAGCCCAAGGGGACAUGACAGCUAAAUGUCAUGUGGUAUUCUGGAUAGGGUCUUGGAACAGAAAAGGAACAUAAGGCAAAAGGAAGGAACUCUGAAUAAACUAUGGGCUUUAGUUUGUAAUUAGGUGUAACUCUUAGUUCAUUAAUAAUAACAAAUGUACCAGACUAGUGGAAGAUGUUAAUAAUAGAGGAAGCUGUGUGUAUGAAAAAAUAUUGAAGACAAACAGAGCCUCAGUGACCUUUCAGAGGAGAGAAAGCAAAUAUUGGGACUGAACAGCAAAUAUUUGAGUAAACAUUAGAAAAAAAAUUUCUGAAGUUGGUAAUAGACAGUGAUCAUUUAGAUCAGGAAGUUCAGUAAAUCCCGAGUAGGAUACUAACAAAGAUAAUCAUGUCUAGACACAGCAUAGUCAAACUGCUACAAUCCAAAGAUUAAGAAAAGAUUGUAAAGGCAGUCAGAGGAGAGGAGAUACAUAUUAAUAUAGGAGAACAAGAAUGAUAAUGAAACCUGAUUUUAUAUCAGAUAAAUGAAAGCCCCAGGACAAUGUAAUAUCUUUCAAGUUUUGGGAAAAAUCUUUUAACCUAGAAUAUUUAUUAUCCAGCAAAAAGAAAAAAAUUAAUUAAGGUGAAUUAAAGAUAUAUUCAGAUAAAUGAAAGAUGAUAAUAUUGUUGCCAGCAAGUCCACACUAUAAAAUAUUUUAAAUUAAGUUCUUCAGUUUAAAGGGAAGUAUGAAAUUUCAGGUCUACAGGAAAUAAGAAGUACUGGGAAUGGUAAAUAUAAAAAAUAUUUUCUCUUCAAUUCUGUAACAGCUAGUUAAUGGUGUAGAGAACAAAUAAUGAAUAUGUACUGUGGAGUUUACAAAAUA